AGUGAACGCUGGCGGUAGGCCUAACACAUGCAAGCCGAACGGCAGCACAGUAAGAGCUUGCUCUUACGGGUGGCGAGUGGUGGACGGGUGAGGAAUACAUCGGAAUCUACUUUUUCGUGGGGGAUAACGUAGGGAAACUUACGCUAAUACCGCAUACGACCUACGGGUGAAAGCAGGGGAUCUUCGGACCUUGCGCGAUUGAAUGAGCCGAUGUCGGAUUAGCUAGUUGGCGGGGUAAAGGCCCACCAAGGCGACGAUCCGUAGCUGGUCUGAGAGGAUGAUCAGCCACACUGGAACUGAGACACGGUCCAGACUCCUACGGGAGGCAGCAGUGGGGAAUAUUGGACAAUGGGCGCAAGCCUGAUCCAGCCAUACCGCGUGGGUGAAGAAGGCCUUCGGGUUGUAAAGCCCUUUUGUUGGGAAAGAAAAGCAGCAGGUUAAUACCCCGCUGUUCUGACGGUACCCAAAGAAUAAGCACCGGCUAACUUCGUG
rnacentral:rRNA from 1 species